rnacentral:rRNA from 1 species
GCGGACGGGUGAGUAACACGUGGGUAACCUGCCCAUAAGACUGGGAUAACUCCGGGAAACCGGGGCUAAUACCGGAUAACAUUUUGAACCGCAUGGUUCGAAAUUGAAAGGCGGCUUCGGCUGUCACUUAUGGAUGGACCCGCGUCGCAUUAGCUAGUUGGUGAGGUAACGGCUCACCAAGGCAACGAUGCGUAGCCGACCUGAGAGGGUGAUCGGCCACACUGGGACUGAGACACGGCCCAGACUCCUACGGGAGGCAGCAGUAGGGAAUCUUCCGCAAUGGACGAAAGUCUGACGGAGCAACGCCGCGUGAGUGAUGAAGGCUUUCGGGUCGUAAAACUCUGUUGUUAGGGAAGAACAAGUGCUAGUUGAAUAAGCUGGCACCUUGACGGUACCUAACCAGAAAGCCACGGCUAACUACGUGCCAGCAGCCGCGGUAAUACGUAGGUGGCAAGCGUUAUCCGGAAUUAUUGGGCGUAAAGCGCGCGCAGGUGGUUUCUUAAGUCUGAUGUGAAAGCCCACGGCUCAACCG